GUUUCAUUUAACCAGAGGGUUCAGUCUAGAAAGUAAACCAUACAGUGCCUUUCUUUAUAUUGUUAGUGUGUUAUCAAACUGCUGAAUUUGUUUGCUUGUGCUUACAAUUUUUUAUUGUAUUAAUGCAUCAAAACAAAAUGUCCAGUUAUAAGAACAGGUGACACAAGCCCUUAUCAUGGUUUGGUUACAAACUGGACUCAGAGAGCAGACUCAGAUGACUAAUGACAGUUUUAUGGACUUUACUGAAAGGCAGUGUAUUUUUAACUGCAACAGUUAAGUGGGUGGGGCACAGCGGCUUCACUACAGGAGCACACAUGCACAGUGCCACAAAGGAGAGAGAGUGUUAACUGCAGGAGCAAUGGAUUAUUGUGGAGCUUGUGCAAAUUUAUAACAGUCUUAUUUGGUGGAUUAGGAGGAAUAUUUAGUUGGCAGAAGGAAGCCUAGGGUGCUGGCAGGCGGGCAGGGAGACUGUGGAGAGGAGAGACAGAGAAACUAUUAAGAGCACUGAAACAAACAGGUAACAAAAGGCAUGACUAUCACCAUGUUGACAAGAACUGUGCCCCCCUCCAGCUUUAGAAUAACCCACACUUGACUGUUCCAUUCAGGUGCUGGAUGGCUCAAAUAGGAAAACUGCACCCAUGGGUGGAUCACCAGCACAAAGCCAAACUAACAAUUCCACUUGAAACUUAAAAGUUAAACAGAGAGGAAAGAAAAAGAAAACAGGCCUCAAAUCCAACCCAGCUCUACUAUAACAGCAUUUCACCUUUAAGGCAGCUGUAGACAGUUUUCCAUAAAAGAACAGGCAAUGCAGUAUGGGAGCAUGGACUUUGGCAGCAGGUAGUUUUAAAAGAACAGCAGUUGCAUUGGAGUAUUAUUUGCUGGGGUCCUCUGGUUGGCAGUCUUUGAUAGGGCCAACUUGAUCUGUCUCCAGACCAGCAGCAGCAGAGGUGGACAGAGACAACUGUUACUUCAACAGAAGGUUGACAUCGAAGUAAAAAAUGAAAGGAAGAGAGACCAGCUGCACCAGAAGUUAGAGCAUUGUGUGCAUAUUCUAUCCAUGUGUUAUCCAAACAACACCACCUGUGGAACAGAGUCCAAUCAGUGAUGCUUCUCCAACAUCCACCUAUAGCUUUGUGAGACCUCACACUGGACCCAACGGAUCCACUGAGGCCAGAAGCAAAGCUUUGCCUGAGAGCUUGUAUGCCCAGCAGGAGUGCUGGUCCCGAGCCUCAAAGACAGUAAGAAGCCAGCAGAGGGAGAAAAAACAGAACAUUUUUCAGAAACUGAUUUGAUCCUUAAUGGCUGUGCAAUCAUUGUAACAUAGAGUUUGCUUAUGUUGUUAAAUAAAGGCUAGAUUUGACAUUAAUAGAUGCCACAGAUGUUCAAAAGCUGCCACAAAGCAUGAAAAAAAAAAAAAAUAGACGUCUCCGAAAACGUCGGAGCAUUUUUGCAAAUAUGUGAUGUCUUGACAAAUCGAGCAGAUAUUUGAAAUUUACACAGCUACAUUCUCGCCUGAAAAUAUCUUAAAAGUUUAUUUU
ensembl:lncRNA